UCUCUUUCAUUUCUUUCCUCCCUAAAUCUUUCUCAAUCUUGGUUACUAGUCUUGAUUCGAUUCUUUAGUUCUAUUCUUGCUCUAGUUUCUUAAUCUUUAGUUUAUAUUUCCGCAUUUAUCAAUAUGGUAUCAGAGCAACCUCUAGAUCCAUGAGUUUUGUUCGCCCUCCUCGGUUUUCAAUAGAUUUCGAAAGUAGCUGUUUUGAUUGGUUUAGACAAUGCAAAUGUCUACUGGUCCGUGUUUGACAAUGAAGAGAAG
rnacentral:lncRNA from 1 species